rnacentral:rRNA from 1 species
GAUGAACGCUGGCGGCGUGCCUAAUACAUGCAAGUCGAGCGAACGGACGAGAAGCUUGCUUCUCUGAUGUUAGCGGCGGACGGGUGAGUAACACGUGGAUAACCUACCUAUAAGACUGGGAUAACUUCGGGAAACCGGAGCUAAUACCGGAUAAUAUUUUGAACCGCAUGGUUCAAAAGUGAAAGACGGUCUUGCUGUCACUUAUAGAUGGAUCCGCGCUGCAUUAGCUAGUUGGUAAGGUAACGGCUUACCAAGGCAACGAUGCAUAGCCGACCUGAGAGGGGGAUCGGCCACAGGGGAACUGAGGCACGGGCGAGACGCCUGCGGGAGGAAGCAGGGGGGAAUGUGCCGCAAUGGGCGAAAGCCUGACGGAGGAGGGCCGCGGGAGUGAUGAAGGUGUUCGGAGCGUAAAACUCUGUUAUGGGGGAAGAACAGAUGUGGAAGGAGCUGUGCAGAGCUUGACGGUACCUAAUCAGAAAGCCACGGCUAACUACGUG